AAGGUUGCGGUGCAUGUGAUGAAGCAAAUCAGUAUGAAUGAAUUCAUGAUACUGUAAACGCUUUCUGAUGUACUACUCA
rnacentral:snoRNA from 2 species